GAGGGUGAGGCGUGAGAACGGACCGUGCUGGGACCGUGAGGAGCCCAGUCACUGUCUGGGAUGGUGGAGCUAUUGAGGGCUUAAGGCAGAAAGCACGGGAUGGAGCUCCCAGUAAACAUCUGUACACUGGGACAGUCUGAUUGACAGCACUCAUGGCUUUCUUAUAAAAUACGUGUUUUAAAGUUUAAGGAUGAGGAAAUGGAAAGGAGGAUGUUAAGCCAAGAAUGUUGAGGUGAAGAAGCACUCCGAGGGUGCUGUGAAUUUCCCUCCAAGCUGGGUAUUUCGAGAGGACGGAAAGCCUGCUGAGGACCUGUCAUUCCCCCCUGCGAACAUGGCAAUCAAACCAAGUGAAGCUAUGACAAAUGGGGAACACGUAGUCAACACAAUAAUUAAGACCCCAAUCCAGUAACUCAGGUUUCAUUUUUCUUGGGUUUUCCUGCUUGGCUUUGACAAUGUCUGAAUGAAGUCUAAUUCGCCAGAGUCUGCUUUGCCAUCGGCCGCCGGCACCAUAGAGGUUUCAUCAGAGAUCCUGGAGGGUCUUCUGUGGGGCCACUGGAAGCAUGUGCAAAUGUGGCCCAAGGAUGUCAUUCUUCAGAAUUAGCCUGCCGGCAGGCUCGGCCUCCCGUGGGUCCUCCGCAAGGCCUCCUGAAAGCUGGAGGUAAUGGGAAAAUAAUCCAGUGGGGAAGGGAGGGGAAGAAGCACACGUAUGACUUUUGGCACGUCCAGAGUGAGAUUCCCAAGCCGCCUGUGGCGGUCUCAGAUGGGCAGGAAGGCCAAGGUUCUCUCGGGUUCUCUGGUUGUUCCUGCUACGAUGUGUUGUUUAUUUACUUUUGCAUUUCAGUGGCUUCUGAUUCAUGGCAGCAGGUGGGGAGAAAGGGAAAGGAAGGGACAGCAGCUUCCGUGGGGCCUGGGAGUCUCUCCCGAGUGACAGCUUUCUCACGUGGUUGCACGGAGGGCUCGCGCGUUGCAGGCACAGCGAGCGGCCACCAGGGGGCGGGCUGUCAGGGCCACAGGCGAGCUGCCGCUCUCUGUGGUCGGAGUCCCGCACAGGAUGGCUGCGGGGCUGCCCCAGGUUUGCCUCGCCAACCCGAAACUUCGAGAAACCAAGGGCUCUGGACGUAUUACAAUGUCUGGCUCUUGAGAGGUGCUCUGUAAAUUCUAGAGCCCAAGCUGACGGUGGCUCAGGCUUUUACAGCCCCCUCAUUUACAGACGGUGAAAACAGCGUGACUGUAUCAUGCGUGUUCAGAAGUCACCUCCUGGCAGAAGCAGGACGUGUUUGUACCACGCUGAUUCGGUUUAUUUGUUUACUUAUGUUUCGAGUUUGUUCUGUUGUCUUUAUGCCUGUUUCUAAAAUAGAGCCAGCCGCUGGUAGUCUGCGGGUUCAAGACUGGGCAGCAUGCAUAUUCCUUUUGCACCGUGGGGGCACGGCCGGGCUGAGGCCGGUCGUUUUUGAGGGCAGUGGGCAGCGGCAACCUGAACUUGCACAUGACCGCCGAGAGUAAGUGUUCCUUGUGUUUUGUGCCCUGGGCACCUGGCCUGCCUAGCCCCCAGCCCUGGUCCCUCAGCACGGCUCCCAACGAGGCGAUAGCUGGUCAGGAACAGAUUCUAGAAGGUAGAGUGUGCACAAAAUGGGAGGGCAUGACCUGCGAGACUGACAGAGGCAGCCUGAAACGCCGUUUUGCUUCCCCAAGGUCAGGUUUAAUUCUGUCUUGGAUCUCAGGUCAGCUUUGGCUCCAAACAAAUUUGGACCAAAGCUCAGGUAUUUGAGAUCAGUUACACCCUGUCACACUGCUUCCUCCUAGGGCACUGGGUCACCCCAAGGGCACCCCUUCCUGCCCCGCUCCCCAUUGCCCAUUUUUUCUCUCUUGUCCCAUCAGUUCCCUGCUCCCGGAGCUCCCCUGUCCCUCCACUCUCCUCACUCUCCUCCCCGCCCCUUGCCAUUGUAGCCACUGGAGCCCUCCAUCUGGCUUCCCAUUAUCCUUUACCAUUUUUUAGCUACAUUUUGUUUUUAAGUAUAAUUUUACGACUCAACCUCGUGGUCUCCUCACUCAGCUAGAAGUCAGAGAUUCCCAUCAGCUCUUUUACUUGCUUUUAAUCACCUCCUUCUUCCAUGACCCCCACUCCGGGUUCAAACCUCACAUCUUCUCCCUCAUCGUCUCAAGCUACCUGUAAAUAUUUCACUCCCCGGUGCUCACAGUGGCCCUUACUCCCAUUUCGCAGGGGAAUGAAAGGGAAGCCUCUCAGGAGUGACCAUUCCUCUAUGGCCACUGGCUACUUCUCUAUACCUUUCUGCACCUGUACUUCCUUCCUUCCCCUGGGCUCCGAGCAGAGGGGCCAAGUCAUUCAGCUCUGCCCUCGCCCCUUGUCCACCUGUCUGCUUCUGAGUCUCCUAGGUCAGACUUCCUCUUCCGGUGUCUUGACCUCUUCCCGCUGCUCACUCUCCUCCCAAGCUUAGAAACGUUCGAAAUUCCUUCCCAUCCUUGAAUCCCCCCUCUCUCGACCACACUUUCGCCCCCAACUCCCACCAAAUUUCUCUUUCUCCUUCUGUGCACCCUUCCCCAGAGCAAUUUUCACUGGCUGUCUCCAUUCCCUCACCUGACAUUCACUCCCUGACCCCAUCCAAAAUGUGUCUGGCUCCAACUGAUGCCAGCCUAGCCAAGAGCAGCGAUGGGAAAAUUAUUUCCUAAGCUGUGAGCUGGGGUUCAGCAAGGGCAUCUGUUAGGAAAUGGUGAAGUUCAGAUUCGGACUUGGGUUUCAUUUGUUAAAUAUCUAUGCUUUUCCCACAAGUCGUCGCUGACGGGGAGGGGCUGGCAGCAGGUGCCUUAGAUCCCUUGCAGGGUUUCAUCUAAAAGGCAGGCUUGGGGGUGGGUGGCUGGUGGCUGUGAGCACCAUAGAAGUUAGGGAAAGUGGUGUUCUUGUUAUUGGAACUCGUGCUCACCCCUCUCUUCAGUACUCACUCCCCACCGCCCUCACUAAAGCACGCACUCACCCUAGAGACCCACACGCGUCACGUUCACUAUUAUCUCGCAUGCUUAGCAGAACACAUUGUGUGCACCCCCAAAUUCUUUGCUGAGUGAGUGGAAGACGAGGUGGAAAAAGAGGGCAAUGCCAACAGUAUUUCCUGGGUCUUCAAGUGGGGAGAAAGUGCCCUCCUGACUGUCAGCCCUUUGGAAGAAGACCAUUCUUGGGCACUGUGUCGGGGACUCCUGGGGCCGGUGACUGGGCAAGGGAGAGAGGCAGUGACCUGUGCCCAGGCCUGGGGUGCAGCCCAGCUCUGCUAGCCCCCGACCCUGAUCUGGAAAAUGGGACGAUCACGGUGUCCACCUCAGGGGGUUGCUGGAGACUGUAGGGUGUAAGCCACAUGCCUUAAUGUGGCUGCUGUUGCUGCUGUUUGGGUGACAAUGGUGACGGUGGGGAUGAAGGUGAUGAUGAAGAUGUAAUUCUGCUGUCAACACAGUGCACUCAGUAAACAACGAUUGAGCACCUACUGCAUACGAUGAAGUGUCCCGGCAGGGCAGCACAGGGAUAAACAAGGCAGCCCCCUGCCCUUGAGAGGGAGGAGCCCAGACUUCUUUAAACCUGGGGGUCACCCUAAAGCUCCCAGACUCUGUGGCUUUAGGAGGAUGGCCCUUCUUAACGGGCGGACACUCCUGGCCUUGCAAGAGCCUUUGAGGAGAGACCCCUCCAGGAUCUCAGGGGUCUCUCAGGGAGCCCCAUUUCCUGCUCUUUUCCAGAAAGAGAACUGUCAGCAGCUUUUGACUCUGUCUUCCAGGGGCAGCCAGGGUUAUGAGAAAGCCACGGGGUGGGGCCCCAGGGAAGGAUCACAUUACCUGACUUGGAGCCCCUGCUUGGUAAUGGGAGCUUAAGAGGCCAUCACUUUCCACUGCCAACCUUGGGGGGAGGGCAGACGUUUGAGGGGCUCUCGGACGAAGCCCCAGGCUUUGGGAUAGUCCCUGCUCUUGGGUUCAAUCCAGAAGCUCCAGGGGCUUGAGGGUAUGGUGCUGCUUUCUAGAUCAACAGAGCAAUCCUUUCAUUUACUCCCUGUUGCCAAAUGGACUUUUGACUUCUUCUCUGUACCCAGGACCCCCAGGCGGCAGGAGGUGAAGCCCAGAACCCAGGGCAGCCCCAGCUGUCUGCCUCGAAGAGCCACCGACAACCAGGCUCUGCUCGAGCAGGCAUUCAGGCUUCUGAUUUCUGAUCAAUUAUUCUGUUUGGGUCUUGCAGGGAUCCUUGUUUUUACGGGCAUUUAAAAAAAAUUACAGAGAUGCUAAAGGUCUGGGCCAUUUGGGACACAAGUCAUUUCUUUCCUGACCUCUCCCAUCACGAGGGGCACCCAGUGGCUAAGUUGAUGUGAUUUAUCUUUCUUAAAACAUUCAGGUACUCUAAAGGUGAAUUUGGGAAUGCUUCUCUUUUUUCUAUUUGUUUUUUUCAUCUCUUUACCUCUCCUUCAUUGCAAACUUCCUCUAAGUUGGAUUCUAGUUGCCUCAAAAGUUUCAUGGAGGCUUUUUUGUUGCAGUGGUUAUGUGCUUGAAGUUAGGAAUUGGUAUACGGGCCUCCACUGCCAGCCCUACUGGUGAUAAAUGCGUCAUACUGUCCUCAGGAAAGAGGUGAUAAAGGACAUUUAAACAGAAAAACUGAGGCUAACUCAGGGAAGAUAUCUUUGGCUCCCUGGGAGGCCACUGUCCCGUCACUUUGUCCCGGUGUCGUUCCAAACUCGGGCCAGGUGCGCAUCCUGGAGGAAUCCCAGGUUUCCUUUCUAAAUCUGUAGCGUCCACUAAAAUCCGAAAAAGCCAUGCAUUGCUUUUAGGACAAACUGCAAACCCUCAGUGGGACACACAGGAUCCUUCCCCACCCCCUCAGCCUGCCUUUCCAGCUUUGGCUUUAUCCCAUUCCCCACUUCCCCCGGCAUGCCCCAGCCCCGGAAAAGCCCCAGGACCCACCGGGGUCUCUGAGAAAGUUCUGUGUGUUCCUCUGAAAGGGGCAUCGCUGCCCUGCUAUGCCCUCUGGUAGGGACCCUCCGGCCUCAUUAGAGUCAUACAUGCCAGGUCCCUCCUUCAGCAGUGGGCUCUGAUUGUCUUCUGGAAAGGGACAGCAUUGUGCCCAUCUCUGUCCCCCCAGCUCUCAGCACAGUGCCUGGCUCCCAGCACGGGAGCCAGGAAGAGCUGCCUGGAUGGCAUGAGGGGCCCAGCGUGUGACAGUGAGGGGAAGUGUGGUGCUCUGACUCCCCAGGUGGGUUUGGACAUCUGUUUGCCUGCGGCUCCUGGAAGGUCUCGGUGGCUCGAGCCUUGCACCUGUAGCUUUUGAGCAGAAGGGGUCUCUCUAAUCGCAGAACACAGGUUCCCCAGGCCGCAGCCAAAGGAAGCUGCCCAGAGGGGCAUCUUCCAGUGAGGGAACAGAAGCCAGACUUCCUUGAAACUCUGGCUUGUUGUUGUUAGUUGCUACUUUGGGAGGAAGUCAGCACCUCUCCCUUCUCCAAAGAACCGCCCCUAAAUUUGGCCUCCUUCUGGAAGGCAGCUUUCAAGACCUCCUCCCCAUAGAAGACAGCUUCUCUCUUCUUCCCUCUUACCCCCUAAAUUCACCUGUCCUUUUCCUUAGAAAUGCAGACAAGGAGUUUUUUUUCAUAAUAAUGUGUGUGUGUGUGUGUGUGUGUGUGUGUGACAACAUAUAAUUGGGAAGUCCUCCCUGAACUGAAUUUUGCUAUUGUCACAAGUUAAAAACAAUAGAGAGACUAAGAAUUUAAAGUAAGAGUUAACUGAAUGAUUUUAUGUAUACGUAAUUUAUUUUCUGAUGUGGUGUGUCCGUUGCCCCAAUACUAGAUACUGGUUUCUCUACCCAUUAAUUUGACGCCUCAUUUUCCUACUCGCCCACAAUGAGAUAUGGCCUCGCAUCUGUCAGGAUGCUGUUCUAAAAACAACAGAAGGCAACAAGCACUGGUGAGGAUGUGGAGAAACUGGAACCCUGCGCAUUGUCGGUAGGAAUGAAAACUGGUGCAAACUGUGGAAAGCAAUAUGGAGGCGCCUCAAAAAAUUAGAAAUAGAGGGGCUCCUGGGUGGCUCGGUCAGUUAAGCGUCUGACUUCAGCUCAGGUCAUGAUCUCACAGUUUGUGAGUCUGAGCCCCACAUCGGGCUCUGUGCUGACAGCUCGGAGCCCGGAGACUGCUUCGGAUUCUGUGUCUCCUUCUCUCUCUCUCUGCCUCUCCCCUUCUCAUGCUCUGUCUCUUUCUCAAAAAUCAAAAGAAGUUAAAAAAAUAAAAAUAGAGCUACCCUA